rnacentral:rRNA from 1 species
CGUGUAGGCGGUCCGCUAAGUCUGAUGUGAAAGCCCGGGGCUCACCCCCGGAAGGGCAUUGGAAACUGGCGGACUCGAGUCCCGGAGAGGAGGGUGGAAUUCCUGGUGUAGCGGUGAAAUGCGUAGAUAUCAGGAGGAACACCGGUGGCGAAGGCGGCCCUCUGGACGGUGACUGACGCUGAGACGCGAAAGCGUGGGGGAGAAC